UACAUGGGGUGCAAACGUUGCUCGGAAUUAUUGGGCGUAAAGCGCGCGUAGGCGGUUACUCAAGUCGGAUGUGAAAGCCCUCGGCUUAACUGAGGAAGUGCACCCGAAACUGAGUAGCUAGAGUACUAAAGAGGGUCGCGGAAUUCCCGGUGUAGAGGUGAAAUUCGUAGAUAUCGGGAGGAACACCUGUGGCGAAGGCGGCGACCUGGGUAGAUACUGACGCUGAGGCGCGAAAGCGUGGGGAGCAAACAGG
rnacentral:rRNA from 1 species